CCUACGGGCGGCAGCAGUGGGGAAUAUUGGGCAAUGGGCGCAAGCCUGACCCAGCAACGCCGCGUGAAGGAAGAAGGCUUUAGGGUUGUUAACUUUCUUUCUGGGGGACGAACAAAUGACGGUACCCCAGGAAUAAGCCACGGCUAACUACGUGCCAGCGGCCGCGGUAAUACGUAGGUGGCCGGCGUUAUCCGGAUUUCUUGGGUGUAAAGGGCGUGUAGGCGGGAAUGCAAGGCAGAUGGGAAAACUCAGGGCUCAACCCUCAGCCUGCAGUUGACACUGUGUGUCUUGAGUGCUGGAGAGGCAAUCGGAAUGCCGUGUGUAGCGGUGAAAUGCGUAGAUAUACGGAGGAACACCAGUGGCGAAGGCGGAUUGCUGGACAGUAACUGACGCUGAGGCGCGAAAGCGUGGGGAGCAAACAGGAUUAGAUACCCUAGUAGUC
rnacentral:rRNA from 1 species